rnacentral:lncRNA from 1 species
UCUUAAGCAGAUGUCACCAUUGAUAAUUUUUAAGUGAUGGUAGAAUGCUCUCACAAGAUCAGGGUACCACUCCCCGUUCAUUUGCACCAAUGUUGACAGAUUUUGAGUCUCAUUCCAUUCAGGAAAUUGAAAGUUUCCUCUUCCAAAUAAUCUCAGGUCAAAAUAUUUUGGUGAGACAACAAUUUUAGAGCACCCCCCA